UCUCUUUGUCUACAUCUCAGGUGAAUUGUAGCCAUGUGAUCAAACGCCCAAGCCUCUAUCCAUUAACCCUCGUAAAUGAAAAAAUGGGGAACAAAAAGAAGUUUUGUGCUGCAAACAUGAAGAGAGGAAAGGAGGGGAAAAAAUGAUAACAGAGAACGAUGUGUGCGUCCUUUCUCCCCUUAUGUCCGAGCAUUGACACUAGUCGCGCACACAGAGAAAUUCCUCUUCAGCAGAAGGGAUGCCUCUGCCUGCCUGCUCUCCGCGUGCGACACACAUAUAAUAUAUUUAUAUAUAUUUGCAAGUUUCUGGAUUUAUGGUGAUGAGGAUGCGGGGGGUGAAGUUGCUUGGUGGUGAAGAUGAGGGAGGAGGGAAAAAAAGAUGGAGUGGGUUGGGGGUACCUCCACGAUGCCUGCACCCCACUGAUCAACUCAUCGGACCAGGCCUGGAAAUGCAAGAGUGAUGGUGAAAAGCAGAAUGUGAUGGUGGUGAUGAUGAUGAUGGUGGCAGGACAACGACGCACACUCACAAUGGCACCAUUGACAGCAACUUUAUGAUGUUUGCGCCCUACGGCCACACAUGCCAGCUUAAUAGUCAGCCAUGUGCGGUGAUUAUUUUUCAACCCUUUCAAUAAAAAUGUUCUCAAGGAACCACUUUA